AGCAGCCGCGGUAAUUCCAGCUCCAAUAGCGUAUAUUAAAGUUGUUGCAGUUAAAAAGCUCGUAGUUGAAUUUCGGGAUCAAGGAAUCGGUCAUGCCUUGGUAUGUACUGGUUUUAUUGGUUCUCACCUUCUAAAGAACCAUAAUGUCAUUUAUUUGAUGUUAUGGGGAAUUAGGACUGUUACCUUGAAAAAUUAGAGUGUUUAAAGCAAGCAUACGCUUGAAUACAUUAGCAUGGAAUAAUGAAAUAGGACGUUUGAUUCUAUUUUGUUGGUUUCUAGGAUCGACGUAAUGAUUAAUAGGGAUAGUUGGGGCAUUAGUAUUCAAUUGUCAGAGGUGAAAUUCUUGGAUUUAUUGAAGACUAACUACUGCGAAAGCAUUUGCCAAGGAUGUUUUCAUUAAUCAAGAACGAAAGUUAGGGGAUCGAAGACGAUCAGAUACCGUCGUAGUCU
rnacentral:rRNA from 1 species